rnacentral:rRNA from 1 species
AGAGUUUGAUCCUGGCUCAGAUUGAACGCUGGCGGAAUGCUUUACACAUGCAAGUCGAACGGUAGAGGGGGCAACCCCUUGAGAGUGGCGAACGGGUGAGUAAUAUAUCGGAACGUGCCCAGUCGUGGGGGAUAACGUAGCGAAAGUUACGCUAAUACCGCAUACGAUCUAAGGAUGAAAGCGGGGGAUCGCAAGACCUCGCGCGACUGGAGCGGCCGAUAUCAGAUUAGGUAGUUGGUGGGGUAAAGGCUCACCAAGCCAACGAUCUGUAGCUGGUCUGAGAGGACGACCAGCCACACUGGAACUGAGACACGGUCCAGACUCCUACGGGAGGCAGCAGUGGGGAAUUUUGGACAAUGGACGCAAGUCUGAUCCAGCCAUUCCGCGUGCAGGAUGAAGGCCCUCGGGUUGUAAACUGCUUUUGUACGGAACGAAAAGGUCUCUCCUAAUACGAGAGGCUCAUGACGGUACCGUAAGAAUAAGCACCGGCUAACUACGUGCCAGCAGCCGCGGUAAUACGUAGGGUGCAAGCGUUAAUCGGAAUUACUGGGCGUAAAGCGUGCGCAGGCGGUUAUAUAAGACAGAUGUGAAAUCCCCGGGCUCAACCUGGGAACUGCAUUUGUGACUGUAUAGCUAGAGUACGGUAGAGGGGGAUGGAAUUCCGCGUGUAGCAGUGAAAUGCGUAGAUAUGCGGAGGAACACCGAUGGCGAANGCAAUCCCCUGGACCUGUACUGACGCUCAUGCACGAAAGCGUGGGGAGCAAACAGGAUUAGAUACCCUGGUAGUCCACGCCCUAAACGAUGUCAACUGGUUGUUGGGUCUUAACUGACUCAGUAACGAAGCUAACGCGUGAAGUUGACCGCCUGGGGAGUACGGCCGCAAGGUUGAACUCAAAGGAAUUGACGGGGACCCGCACAAGC